rnacentral:rRNA from 1 species
GCGAAAAGCUAGAAACUCCAAGGACUUGGCGGUGCUUCAAAUCAACCUAGAGGAGCCUGUCCUAUAAUCGAUACUCCACGUUUUACCUUACCCCCUCUAGAAAUCAGCCUAUAUACCGCCGUCGAAAGCCUACCUUAUGAGAGAAACAAAGUAGGCAAAAUAGCUAACAGCUAGUACGUCAGGUCAAGGUGUAGCAUAUGGGGAGGCAGAGAUGGGCUACAUUUUUAAAAAUAACACACGAAUAACAUGCUGAAAUACAUGUCUGAAGGCGGAUUUAGUAGUAAAAUAGACAAGAAAAGUUAUUUUAAACCUGCUCUGAAGCGCGC